rnacentral:snRNA from 1 species
AGGAGGGCGCGGCGGUCGCUG